rnacentral:pre_miRNA from 10 species
AAAAGCCAAAACCUGGCCUUCUCUUCCUGGUUCUUCCCGAAGUCAGGAAAAGCUGGGUUGAGAGGACGAAAAAUAAUAAUAA